GAUGGGGCAUACAUAAUAGUUCUCUUUCCAAUGUUUCUUCCAGGUUAAAGACUUGAGGUCCAGGGGUUCUUAGGCCCAAGCUUCAUGGUCAGAGAGAGGCCCAGCGAGUAUUUGAACCUGGAAGUCUGAUGUCGUGAUGGGAACACCCAAGUAUACAGAUGGGAAGUCACUUUUCAAGGAUGCACAGCUGGCCAGAGGCAGAGAAGGCUACCUCGGGUGUCCAGUGUCUCCUGGCCUGUGUGGCUGUGCCCCUGGGGCCAAGAAGCAGAGAGAACACCAUUCAGGCUUCCAGGAACAGGCAGGCGGGCACCGGCUCCUUC